rnacentral:rRNA from 1 species
UACGAAGGGGGCUAGCGUUGCUCGGAAUCACUGGGCGUAAAGGGUGCGUAGGCGGGUUUUUAAGUCAGGGGUGAAAUCCUGGAGCUCAACUCCAGAACUGCCUUUGAUACUGAAGAGCUUGAGUUCGGGAGAGGUGAGUGGAACUGCGAGUGUAGAGGUGAAAUUCGUAGAUAUUCGCAAGAACACCAGUGGCGAAGGCGGCUCACUGGCCCGAUACUGACGCUGAUGCACGAAAGCGUGGGGAGCAAACAGG